AACGGACGCUGGCGGCAGGCCUAACACAUGCAAGUCGAACGGACGUAGCAAUACGUUAGUGGCUCACGGGAGAGUAACGCGUGGGAACCUACCUUUUGGUUCGGGAUAACGUCGGGAAACUGGUGCUAAUACCGGAUAAGCCCUUCGGGGGAAAGAUUUAUUGCCGAAAGAUGGGCCCGCGUUGGAUUAGCUAGUUGGUGAGGUAAUGGCUCACCAAGGCAACGAUCCAUAGCUGGUCUGAGAGGAUGAUCAGCCUCACUGGGACUGAGACACGGCCCAGACUCCUACGGGAGGCAGCAGUGGGGAAUAUUGGACAAUGGGGGAAACCCUGAUCCAGCCAUGCCGCGUGAAUGAUGAAGGCCUUCGGGUUGUAAAGUUCUUUUGGUGGGGACGAUGAUGACGGUACCCACAGAAUAAGCUCCGGCUAACUUCGUGCCAGCCGCCGCCGUAA
rnacentral:rRNA from 1 species